GAGAGUGCAGGCGCUGAGGACAGCGACGACCCCGAGAAGAGACCCAACGGCGAGAAAGGAGACAGCAAGUGAUCUCAUGUACUGCAAGAGGAUGGAUGCUGCAGUGAGCUCUCUGCAAGAUGCUAGAGAUUCCAAGCUGCUGGCUGUUCUCCAUAACAUAAAGCCAUCCUGCUAGAGAGGCUGCAGGAAGCAAGCGGGAAGGAGGUGCCAUUUUUUGGCCAGAGGUUGGAGCACCUUCUCAGGCGUCCUGGGAAACUGCAAAAGGGUGACGAGGAAGGUGCUGCAGGCCCCCAGGAGAGAAAUGGCAGCUGGAACCAAGAAGCAUCUAGAAUGGAUUCAAGCUCUGCUUCCCUUCAGAAUGAAACUGUCUGAGCUGCACUUCUGGGUUGGAUUGUUUUUGUUGAGCCAUCACCCACAUACACGUGGUUCGGGAUGCUUUUGACUGGUUGGCUUUCUUUAUUCUGUCUUUUCUGUUUCUUCUCUCAGCUUUGGAAAUUGUAAGAAAAGAAUUUGCUUUGAAAAAUAGGAUUCUGUGCUGAAAUUAGCCUUGUUUAUGAGCAAAUGCUUUCCCUGUAGGUUUUUUAAAUUACAAUCCCACGUGACCUAGUAAAUGGGGAUGUGUAGUGUGAAUUGUGUAGUACUGAUGCUUAGAUUAAAAAUACAUUUUCUCUCUCUCUCUCUUUUUAAGUUUGGAACCAGGUAAUGGCCCGAGUCACAUUUGCUUAGCUACUGAAGCGAUCUCAAUGUGGUUAUCGCUUAGAGUUGAAAUAUAAUCAAACAUACAUUAUACCUGGGGCUCUUGAACACUAUUUGAUAUGUAUGUUACACUACAAGAAACACAAACCUUGUAGGUUGAAAUUUAAUUUCUGUCUGAUCCUGCAUGAAGAAAUUAUAA